rnacentral:tRNA from 1 species
GAGAGGUGGCAGAGUGGUCGAAUGCGCUGGUUUGCUAAACCGGUGAGGGGUUUUGAGCCCCUCCACGGGUUCGAAUCCCGUCCUCUCC